GACGAACGCUGGCGGCGUGCUUAACACAUGCAAGUCGAACGGAAAGGCCCUGCUUUUGUGGGGUGCUCGAGUGGCGAACGGGUGAGUAACACGUGAGUAACCUGCCCUUGACUUUGGGAUAACUUCAGGAAACUGGGGCUAAUACCGGAUAGGAGCUCCUGCUGCAUGGUGGGGGUUGGAAAGUUUCGGCGUUUGGGGAUGGACUCGCGGCUUAUCAGCUUGUUGGUGGGGUAGUGGCUUACCAAGGCUUUGACGGGUAGCCGGCCUGGGAGGGUGACCGGCCACAUGGGGUAUGAGAUACGGCCCAGCCCCCUUGGGGGGGGAGUGGGGGGGAAUAUGGCACAAUGGGCGGAACCGUGGUGAAGAACCGCGGGGGGGGGGAAGAAGGCGUUGGGGUUGUAAACCGAUUUCGCCUGUGAAGAGGCGUGGGGGACGGUAAAGGGUAAGGAAGCAGCGGCUACUUCGGU
rnacentral:rRNA from 1 species